GAUCCAGACUUUGAUUCUGGCUCAGGACGAACGCUGGCGGCGUGCUUAACACAUGCAAGUCGAACGAGAAGAGAUGAGAAGCUUGCUUCUUAUCGAUUCGAGUGGCAAACGGGUGAGUAACGCGUAAGCAACCUGCCCUCUAGAUGGGGACAACAGCUGGAAACGGCUGCUAAUACCGAAUACGUUCUUUCUGCCGCAUGGCAGAAGGAAGAAAGGGAGGCUCUUCGGAGCUUUCGCUGGAGGAGGGGCUUGCGUCUGAUUAGCUAGUUGGAGGGGUAACGGCCCACCAAGGCGACGAUCAGUAGCCGGUCUGAGAGGAUGAACGGCCACAUUGGGACUGAGACACGGCCCAGACUCCUACGGGAGGCAGCAGUGGGGAAUCUUCCGCAAUGGACGAAAGUCUGACGGAGCAACGCCGCGUGAACGAUGACGGCCUUCGGGUUGUAAAGUUCUGUUAUACGGGACGAAUGGUACGACGGUCAAUACCCGUCGUAAGUGACGGUACCGUAAGAGAAAGCCACGGCUAACUACGUGCCAGCAGCCGCGGUAAUACGUAGGUGGCAAGCGUUGUCCGGAAUUAUUGGGCGUAAAGGGCGCGCAGGCGGCGUCGUAAGUCGGUCUUAAAAGUGCGGGGCUUAACCCCGUGAG
rnacentral:rRNA from 1 species